CCCUGGCUCAGAACGAACGCUGGCGGCAGGCUUAACACAUGCAAGUCGAGCGCCCCUCCUUCAAGCAAGCUUGAAGGAUUUUUAUCCUUGAAAAGGAAGAUCAAGACAGCUUUCAAGAAGCUUUCUUGAUGGAGGGGAGCGGCAGACGGGUGAGUAACGCGUGGGAAUCUACCCAUCUCUACGGAAUAACUCAGGGAAACUUGUGCUAAUACCGUAUACGCCCUUUUGGGGAAAGAUUUAUCGGAGAUGGAUGAGCCCGCGUUGGAUUAGCUAGUUGGUGGGGUAAAGGCCUACCAAGGCGACGAUCCAUAGCUGGUCUGAGAGGAUGAUCAGCCACAUUGGGACUGAGACACGGCCCAAACUCCUACGGGAGGCAGCAGUGGGGAAUAUUGGACAAUGGGCGCAAGCCUGAUCCAGCCAUGCCGCGUGAGUGAUGAAGGCCUUAGGGUUGUAAAGCUCUUUCACCGGAGAAGAUAAUGACGGUAUCCGGAGAAGAAGCCCCGGC
rnacentral:rRNA from 1 species